GAGUAACACGUGGCUGAUCUGCCCUGCACUCUGGGAUAAGCCCGGGAAACUGGGUCUAAUACCGCAUAUGACCGCAUGCUGCAUGGUGUGUGGUGGAAAGAUUUAUCGGUGCAUGAUGGGCCCGCGGCCUAUCAGCUUGUUGGUGGGGUAAUGGCCUACCAAGGCGACGACGGGUAGCCGACCUGAGAGGGUGACCGGCCACACUGGGACUGAGACACGGCCCACACUCCUACGGGAGGCAGCAGUGGGGAAUAUUGCACAAUGGGCGGAAGCCUGAUGCAGCAACGCCGCGUGAGGGAUGAAGGCCUUCGGGUUGUAAACCUCUUUCAUCAUGGACGAAACAUGAGUGACGGUACCUGCACAAGAAGAACCGGCUAACUACGUGCCAGCAGCCGCGGUAAUACGUAGGGUGCGAGCGUUGUCCGGAAUUACUGGGCGUAAAGAGUUCGUAGGCGGUUUGUCGCGUCGUUUGUGAAAACCCGGGGCUCAAC
rnacentral:rRNA from 1 species